rnacentral:rRNA from 1 species
GACAGAGGGUGCAAACGUUGCUCGGAAUUACUGGGCGUAAAGCGCGUGUAGGCGGACCUUCAAGUCGGAUGUGAAAGCCCUAAGCUCAACUUAGGAACUGCAUCCGAAACCGAAGGCCUAGAGUGGUGGAGAGGAAAGCAGAAUUCCUGGUGUAGAGGUGAAAUUCGUAGAUAUCAGGAGGAACACCGGUGGCGAAGGCGGCUUUCUGGACACUUACUGACGCUGAGACGCGAAAGCGUGGGGAGCAAACAGG